GACAGAGGGUGCAAGCGUUAAUCGGAAUUACUGGGCGUAAAGCGCGCGUAGGUGGUUUGUUAAGUUGAAUGUGAAAUCCCCGGGCUCAACCUGGGAACUGCAUGCAAAACUGGCAAGCUAGAGUAUGGUAGAGGGUGGUGGAAUUUCCUGUGUAGCGGUGAAAUGCGUAGAUAUAGGAAGGAACACCAGUGGCGAAGGCGACCACCUGGACUGAUACUGACACUGAGGUGCGAAAGCGUGGGGAGCAAACAGG
rnacentral:rRNA from 1 species